rnacentral:rRNA from 1 species
GACGAACGCUGGCGGCGUGCUUAACACAUGCAAGUCGAACGGAAAGGCCCUGCUUUUGUGGGGUGCUCGAGUGGCGAACGGGUGAGUAACACGUGAGUAACCUGCCCUUGACUUUGGGAUAACUUCAGGAAACUGGGGCUAAUACCGGAUAGGAGCUCCUGCUGCAUGGUGGGGGUUGGAAAGUUUCGGCGGUUGGGGAUGGACUCGCGGCUUAUCAGCUUGUUGGUGGGGUAGUGGCUUACCAAGGCUUUGACGGGUAGCCGGCCUGAGAGGGUGACCGGCCACCUUAGGACUGAGAUACGGCCCAGACUCCAACGGGACGCAGCAGUGGGGAAUAUUGCAGAAUGGGCGGAAGUCUGAUGUAGCAACGCCGCGUGCGGGAUGACGGGCUUCGGGUUGUAAACCGCUUCCGCCUUUGACGAAGCGUUAGUGACGGUAAUGGGUAAAGAAGCACCGGCUAACUACGUG